CCUACGGGGAGCAGCAGUAGGGAAUCUUCCACAAUGGGCGAAAGCCUGAUGGAGCAACGCCGCGUGGGUGAAGAAGGUCUUCGGAUCGUAAAACCCUGUUGUUAGAGAAGAAAGUGCGUGAGAGUAACUGUUCACGUGUCGACGGUAUCUAACCAGAAAGCCACGGCUAACUACGUGCCAGCAGCCGCGGUAAUACGUAGGUGGCAAGCGUUAUCCGGAUUUAUUGGGCGUAAAGGGAACGCAGGCGGUCUGUUAAGUCUGAUGUGAUAGCCUUCGGCUUAACCGGGGUAGUGCAGUGGAAACUGGGAGACUUGAGUGAAGAAGAGGAGAGUGGAACUCCAUGUGUAGCGGUGAAAUGCGUAGAUAUAUGGAAGAACACCAGUGGCGAACGCGGCUGUCUGGUCUGUAACUGACGCUGAGGUUCGAAAGCGUGGGUAGCAAACAGGAUUAGAUACCCUAGUAGUC
rnacentral:rRNA from 1 species